UACGGAGGGUGCUAGCGUUAAUCGGAAUGACUGGGCGUAAAGGGCAUGUAGGCGGAUAAUUAAGUUAGGUGUGAAAGCCCCGGGCUCAACCUGGGAACUGCACUUAAAACUGGAUAUCUGGAGUAUUGGAGAGGAAGGUAGAAUUCCACGUGUAGCGGUGAAAUGCGUAGAGAUGUGGAGGAAUACCGGUGGCGAAGGCGGCAAUCUGGACAGAUACUGACGCUGAGAUGCGAAAGCGUGGGGAGCAAACAGG
rnacentral:rRNA from 1 species